CGGGGAGUGGCUCAGUCCGGCAGAGCACCUGCUUUGGGAGCAGGGGGUCGCGGGUUCGAAUCCCGCCUCCCCGACCA
rnacentral:tRNA from 3 species